rnacentral:misc_RNA from 1 species
GAAAACACCAUUUGAAUUCCGAAAUUAGAAAGACAUUAUAUAUUGUCAUACUAUACAAAUAAAAAUGAUAAGAUUACAACUUUCAGACACCCAAAAAGAAUGAAAUUGAAACAAAGAAUCACAUUUCUGAACACUCGCUCAAUCAUAUUCUCAUCUCUGUAGUGAAGAAAUCACAACUUGGUUUGCACGACAUUUAAAGAGCAUCUGUAGUUUGCAAUAGAAAAAGGAAGUCAGAUCUUUGACGGAGUAGCGGUGGCGGAUCCACAUCAGUUAGGCUGAUUGCACCAAAGGAUCGGAAUAUCUCUUCCAUUGAAAAAGGUAUGCUGAAAAAUUGAAAUGCUUUAACUACAACUUUAACACUUGGAAGAAAUUCGUUAAUUCAGUUUUGUUGACUGUAAUUGUUACCUUGAAUCAACAUCAAGCAAGAAAGAAUAGUUAUUGGGCAUGUUUAUAGAAUGUUCUGCCAUUAGAGUUCUCAUCUUGCCAAUCACCUGUUGUUCCAAGCACGAUAUAAGAAGUUCAAAAUUAAAAACUGAUUAUUCUUCUAUAGAGCUGGCAUGUCCCUUUUCUUCACUUUUAACAAUUCCUCCAGUUUUAGAGGUUGUGGGACAUGGAGGAAUAUAGAAUUAUUUAAAUAGGGAAAACUGUGCACUAUCACUUACAUCUGGAGAUAAUCCCUGCGUUCCGUAUUUAUCAUCCCAGAACAUUGUCCCAAUGCGAUAUAUUUGUGGAAUGUUCAAUAUCUAUGAAACAUAUAAAACAGAAAAUUUAGUCAGUACCAGGAGCGUGUCAACCUUUCCUCUUUAGAUUUUCAGACAUCGGAGAGCUAACUCAACUAAGCUAAGUUCAAGUAUUAUCUGCAUUUGAAGCAAGUUUGUCCUCUUUUCUUGCUCAAUGACCAAUUGUUUUAAUUUUCUUACAGUAUGUAAGUUUUAUUUUUUUAUUUUGCUUCCUUUCCAUACAACAGUAAAUUAAGACGCUAUCGCAUUUUAUUUUGCUAUUCCAAACCAUAUACUGGAUCAUUUACCGGGCAUAGUUCGUUUGUGAUCUCGUCCACUGAUUUUUGAGCUUUUUGAUGCAACACCUGUAUAGAUGAACCAUAUAAUCUGUUACUAACAUUGUGAAUCCUAAACUUAUAACAAUCUUAUCGGUUUGCUAAUCUAGGUUCAAGAAAAUAUACCAGAAACCCAACAGCUUGCCUUAUGUGCUGGAGUUCAUCCCAUGAUGAUCCUGCAAACUGUGAAAUACUGAACUAUAACUUUUUGCUUGCCAUUGCUUUGUCCUCUGCAUAUAUAUGUUGUGUUUUAGCUUACCUGAUUUGAUGCUUUUUGGCACCACUGUUCCAAUUCCUGCAAACCUGCCUUUACAUAUUCUCCAUUGCUAAAUGAACAGCACUCACGACGAAGCAAUAAGCUGCUAGGGCAAGAAUUUGGAUAUGGGGACUAAUUAUGAGAGGGUUGAUUCAGUUAUACUAUACAUGCUUAAUGAUGAAUUGGAGUUUAUGCUCUUCUUACCUGUUAAAGAGCUGUACAUUUAUGAAUGAGAAAACCUGACUGAAAAUUUUCCUUGUGAACACAGGAGAGACAUUAUUCUCUGACAUUAUACUCAAGGUAUUAUCUAGCUUAUUAACAAUGCUUUGCCAAUGUAUGUUUGAUGCUUGUUGUCUUGCAACAAUAUUUGAAUGAAUAUUUUUAGAUGACCCUCUUACUGAUCUAACUCUCGUUGAUCUCGGUGCCUGGAUGCACAAAUUCAAGAAUGAACUUAUCUCUUUCUUGACACUAUCACGGAUCAGCCCAUAUAUUUUCUCAACAUAUGCAGUUAGAUGUUGCUUAAAUAGUAGUGCUGGAUACUUGGCUUCCACUUUUAACUGCUCAUUUGGCUUUCCUACCAUUCCACUGUACCCACUUGACACUCCUAUGCCCAUUGAAGGUGUUUGGAAUCCCAUUCUACCAAAUAAGGUGGCAGGGGAGGUUCGAUUUCGCUGUUUAGAUGCAUUCUGUGUGUUGCUUGCCUUAAGUGUACUUUGGAGAAGAUACAAAAGGGUAGAAGUUGUUGAGAGCCAAUAUGCUAGGUUACAGAUAUUAUCUUGACUCUCUAUACACAACUUGAUUGUGUGAAUAAUCCUAUCAAAUAUAUUUGUCUUCUCUGCUUCAAAAGAUCUCCAUUGAAGAAGCGAUUUGUAUACAACACAGGCAGCAACAGGUCUGUUCUUAUCAAACUGUUUAUCUUCCACAAGACAUUUGAUGAGUACAUCAUGGUUUU